GCUACUACCGAUUGAAUGGUUUAGCGAGAUGCUCGGAUCGGGCCCAGCUCGUGCGAAAGCAUGUGCCGGGACUGAGAAGAAGUUCAAGCUUGAUCAUUUUGAGGAAGUAAAAGUCGUAACAAGGUUUUUGUAGGUGAACCUGCAGAAGGAUCAAGAUCGGAAGGGCGUCUUGUGGGGGAAGAGUGUAGAUCUCGGUGGUCGUCGCAUCAUUAAAAAAAAAAAAUAUAACAUACACUACACCUACCUUGACCUCCAUCUGAUCUUACAUCCAUCUCUU
rnacentral:misc_RNA from 1 species